GAUGAACGCUUUCCUCGUGCCUCCUCCCUGCACGUCGAGCGCAAAGACGAGGAACUUGCUCCUCUGACAUUAGCGGCGGACAGGUGAGUAAAACGGGGAUAAACUACCUAUAAGACUGGGAUAACUUCGGGAAACCGGAGCUAAUACCGGAUAUUAUAUUGAAUCGAAUGGUUCAAUAGUGAAAGACGGUUUUGCUGUCACUUUUAGAAUGAUCCGCGCCUCAUUAGCUAGUUGGUAAGGUAACGGUUUCCAAAGGCCACGAUGCGUAGCAGACCUGAGAGGGUGAUCGGCCACACUGGAACUGAGACACGGUCCAAACUCCUACGGGAGGCAGCAGUAGGGAAUCUUCCGCAGUGGGCGAAAGCCUGACGGAGCAACGCCGCGUGAGUGAUGAAGGUCUUCGGAUCGUAAAACUCUGUGAUUAGUGAAGAACAAAUGUGUAAGUAACUAUGCACGUCUUGACGGUACCUAAUCAGAAAGCCACGGCUAACUACGUG
rnacentral:rRNA from 1 species